rnacentral:rRNA from 1 species
GUCGAACGCGUUGGCCCAAUUGAUUGAUGGUGCUUGCACCUGAUUGAUUUUGGUCGCCAACGAGUGGCGGACGGGUGAGUAACACGUAGGUAACCUGCCCAGAAGCGGGGGACAACAUUUGGAAACAGAUGCUAAUACCGCAUAACANCGUUGUUCGCAUGAACAACGCUUAAAAGAUGGCUUCUCGCUAUCACUUCUGGAUGGACCUGCGGUGCAUUAGCUUGUUGGUGGGGUAACGGCCUACCAAGGCGAUGAUGCAUAGCCGAGUUGAGAGACUGAUCGGCCACAAUGGGACUGAGACACGGCCCAUACUCCUACGGGAGGCAGCAGUAGGGAAUCUUCCACAAUGGGCGCAAGCCUGAUGGAGCAACACCGCGUGAGUGAAGAAGGGUUUCGGCUCGUAAAGCUCUGUUGUUAAAGAAGAACACGUAUGAGAGUAACUGUUCAUACGUUGACGGUAUUUAACCAGAAAGUCACGGCUAACUACGUGCCAGCAGCCGCGGUAAUACGUAGGUGGCAAGCGUUAUCCGGAUUUAUUGGGCGUAAAGAGAGUGCAGGCGGUUUUCUAAGUCUGAUGUGAAAGCCUUCGGCUUAACCGGAGAAGUGCAUCGGAAACUGGAUAACUUGAGUGCAGAAGAGGGUAGUGGAACUCCAUGUGUAGCGGUGGAAUGCGUAGAUAUAUGGAAGAACACCAGUGGCGAAGGCGGCUACCUGGUCUGCAACUGACGCUGAGACUCGAAAGCAUGGGUAGCGAACAGGAUUAGAUACCCUGGUAGUCCAUGCCGUAAACGAUGAGUGCUAGGUGUUGGAGGGUUUCCGCCCUUCAGUGCCGGAGCUAACGCAUUAAGCACUCCGCCUGGGGAGUACGACCGCAAGGUUGAAACUCAAAGGAAUUGACGGGGGCCCGCACAAGCGGUGGAGCAUGUGGUUUAAUUCGAAGCUACGCGAAGAACCUUACCAGGUCUUGACAUCUUGCGCCAACCCUAGAGAUAGGGCGUUUCCUUCGGGAACGCAAUGACAGGUGGUGCAUGGUCGUCGUCAGCUCGUGUCGUGAGAUGUUGGGUUAAGUCCCGCAACGAGCGCAACCCUUGUUACUAGUUGCCAGCAUUAAGUUGGGCACUCUAGUGAGACUGCCGGUGACAAACCGGAGGAAGGUGGGGACGACGUCAGAUCAUCAUGCCCCUUAUGACCUGGGCUACACACGUGCUACAAUGGACGGUACAACGAGUCGCGAACUCGCGAGGGCAAGCAAAUCUCUUAAAACCGUUCUCAGUUCGGACUGCAGGCUGCAACUCGCCUGCACGAAGUCGGAAUCGCUAGUAAUCGCGGAUCAGCAUGCCGCGGUGAAUACGUUCCCGGGCCUUGUACACACCGCCCGUCACACCAUGAGAGUUUGUAACACCCAAAGUCGGUGGGGUAACCUUUUAGGAGCCAGCCGCCU